rnacentral:rRNA from 1 species
CUAAAUAGUUCUGUAACAAAACAAUUCGCCAGAGAACUACUAGCAACAGCUUAAAACUCAAAGGACUUGGCGGUGCUUUAUAUCCCUCUAGAGGAGCCUGUUCUAUAAUCGAUAAACCCCGAUAAACCUCACCAUCCCUUGCUAAUACAGUCUAUAUACCGCCAUCUUCAGCAAAAUGAA